AAGAGCAAGGAGUGUCGAGAAUGGCGACCAAGCGGCUCGCGCGGUACUGGAGGGGGUUCCGGGUCGGGGGCGGGUAACUCCGGGUCCGGCGCUGGCGUUGGCGGCAGAGCAGGGCACAGCAGGUGGCAUCUGCGGUGAGGGCCUCCAUUCCCCGCAGCCCCAGCGUCUGCGACCUGCCCUCUCUGGCAUGGCUGGAAAGGAGCUUCCCUGGACCUUGGUCUUCAGCCUUGGGCCACCUUCUGCCUGAGGGUGACAGGAGCCCGAGGCCGACGAACCCUGGGGUCUUGACUGUGUGGCCUUGAGCCAGUGCCUGCCCAUUUUAGGCCUUGGGAAACGACUGGACGUGACAGUGCCCUGCAGACUGGUUGGAGGUCUCAGGCAGGCCACACACUGAAUCCGUCAAGGUGUUCAACCUGUUUGAAAUGCUCGGUGCUGUAAAGAAAUAGAACUUGAACUUAAAUUUAAUUUAUUUAGUAAGACCAUUUUUAUUUCCUGCAGAAAGGGUACACUCGCCAGCAGUUUUGCCAGGAGAGUACACUGAACAAAGGAGACAGGGUCAUUUAUAACGUGGUGCGUCCACCCUACUGCUGUGUCCGGUUUCCAUUGGCUGGAACGGGACAUCACAUUCUGUAUUUGUCCCCAUUGACUAGCAACAUA
rnacentral:sRNA from 1 species